rnacentral:tRNA from 1 species
CAAUUUGAAGCUUAUUUAGUAAAGCAUUUCAUUUACACUGAAAAGAUUAUUGUGCGAAUCAAUAUAAAUUGA